GAGCAGAGCAGAAUUAUUUUCUUUCAGUCCAAAAUUUGACAUGGAUGAACGAUUUUGUUUUAGAUGGGUAUUUGAUAUUGCUCUCCGCAAAUAACAAUGCCGGUCUCGGUCCAGCAUUUGAUUCGAGCUGACUAAUCCGACAGACCAGCAGGUUGAGGUGCUGGCCGCCUGAGGAGCGUGAGGCCGCCGGCGGGGUUGCUGCACCCAGGGCUUCUGAAGGAUCGCGUGACCGAGGCAGCAGGUGAAGUUGCCGCCCAGCGGAGCGCCAGGCCGGCAACAUAUCGAAGCAUCGCCACCACAGAUCCGAGCCGAAAGAGCUGCUCUUCUCCUCGGACGCGGAACCCUACUAUUAACCUGCAGUGGCAUAGGGUGUAUUUGGUUCACAAGGUUAGCAUUUGUUGGGUCACCCCUGCAGCUCGAACUAUUAGCAAUUAUUGGGUCUUGUUAUUGCCAUCCAUCUAUAACUGUAAAUAUUCAGAAAUAUGAAAUAUAAGCAAAUGAUGCUUACACCAAAA